GGAGCGGCUUACGUGAUAUUAGCUUGUUGGUGGGGUAAUGGCCUAACAAAGGCAACGGAUGUCUAGGGGGGUGUGAGAGGCAUGGCCCCCCACGACCCGGAACUGGAGACACUGUCUCGGACACCUACCGGGUGGCUGCAGUCAGGAAUCUUCCGCCAAUGGGCGAAAACUCUGACCGGAGCGACGCCGCGUGCGGGGAUGAAGGCCCUUUGGGUUGUAAACCGCUGUCAGAGGGGGAUGAAAUCAUGGUUGGCAAUCCUUCCAUGUUGACAGAGCCUCAGAGGAAGCACGGGCUAAGUACGUGCCAGCAGCCGCGGUAACACGUACUGUGCAAACGUUAUUCGGAAUCACUGGGCUUAAAGGGUAUGUAGGCGGUUUGGAAAGUCAGAUGUGAAAUGCCACAGCUCAACUGUGGCACUGCGUUUGAAACUUCCAGACUAGAGUAUUCCAGAGGUAUGCGGAACUGCCAGUGGAGCGGUGAAAUGCGUUGAUAUUGGCAGGAACACCAGAGGCGAAGGCGGCAUACAGGGGGAUAACUGACGCUGAGAUACGAAAGCCAUGGUAGGGAAC
rnacentral:rRNA from 1 species